UACGGAGGGUGCAAGCGUUAAUCGGAAUUACUGGGCGUAAAGCGUGCGCAGGCGGUUUGUUAAGUCUGCUGUGAAAUCCCCGAGCUCAACUUGGGAAUUGCAAUGGAUACUGGCAGGCUGGAGUCUGGCAGAGGGGGGUAGAAUUCCACGUGUAGCAGUGAAAUGCGUAGAGAUGUGGAGGAACACCGAUGGCGAAGGCAGCCCCCUGGGUCAAGACUGACGCUCAUGCACGAAAGCGUGGGGAGCAAACAGG
rnacentral:rRNA from 1 species